GACGGAGGGUGCAAGCGUUGCUCGGAAUCACUGGGCGUAAAGGGUGCGUAGGCGGUCUCUCAAGUCUGGCGUGAAAGCCCAAGGCUCAGCCUUGGAAGUGCGCUAGAAACUGAGAGGCUUGAGUGCCGGAGGGGAGAGUGGAAUUCCCGGUGUAGCGGUGAAAUGCUUAGAUAUGACAUAGAACACCAAUUGCGAAGGCAGCUCGCUACACGAAUAUUGACUCUGAGGCGCGAAAGCGUGGGGAUCAAACAGG
rnacentral:rRNA from 1 species